GUGAUGGCGGCUGCUACCAUGCAGUCGAGCGGCAGUCGAUGUCCUUCGCUACAUCACGCUAAGUGGCGAACGGGUGAGUAAUGCUUCGGAAUCUGCCUAUUAGUGGGGGACAACUUUCCGAAAGGUAUGCUAAUACCGCAUACGCCCUGAGGUGGAAAGCAGGGGAUCUUCGGACCUUGCGCUAUUGGAUGAGCCUAUGUCAGAUUAGCUAGUUGGUGGGGUAAAGGCCUACCAAGGCGACGAUCUGUAGCGGGUCUGAGAGGAUGAUCCGCCACACUGGAACUGAGACACGGUCCAGACUCCUACGGGAGGCAGCAGUGGGGAAUUUUGGACAAUGGGCGAAAGCCUGAUCCAGCCAUGCCGCGUGAGUGAAGAAGGCCUUUUGGUUGUAAAGCUCUUUCGGCCAGGAAGAAGCUACGUGGAUUAAUACUCGCCGUGAAUGAACGUUACUCACUAAAAAACCCCCGGUUACUUCUGACCCACCACCCGCGUAAUUACUUAGGUGGCAAGCGUUAUCCGAAUUUACGGGCGUAAAGCGUGGCGCAGGCGUUUGCUAAAAACAGGGGGAAAUCCCCGGGCUUUACCCGGGAAACUGCCUUGUGUGACUGGCAGGCUAAAGUACGCAGAGAGGGGGUGGAAAUUCCGUGUGUAGCAGUGAAAUGCGUAGAUAUGUGAGAGAAACACCAUGGGAAAGGCCCCCCUGGGCCUGUGUACUGACUCUCAUGCAAAGCGUGGGAAGAAAAGGAUUUAUACCCUGGUAAUCCCCGGCCCUAACAAUGUCAUUAUCCUUUCGGACCGGAACGCGCUUGAUGAACAACUUAACGCGUAAAUUUAACCGCUGGGGGAAUUACGGCCCCAAGGUUAAACUCUCAAGGAUUUGCCGGGAAACCGGCAAACGGUGGGAUGAAGUGUGAUUAAUUUCAUUCACAGCCGAAAACCUUUACUUACCUUUGGAUUUGCAGGG
rnacentral:rRNA from 1 species